GGGUAUUGGAGCCACACAGGGGCUCUGUUCUAAACCUGGAUGGAGUUGGGAUUGGCGAGGCGGCUGAACUGCAGGCUUCGUCCUGACUGGUCUCUAAGUGGGCUGCCGCGCGGCUUCUGGACUCUGGUCGGAAUCUGGGCAGCCUUAUAAGAAUGUCCAGGCCUGCCCCCUUCCUCCCCACCAAGGCCGGUUGGAUCUGGGUGGCCAGGGAUUGGGGGAGGCGGGGGGGAGACCCAGGGACUGGUCUGUUUGGCUUCUCUUCCUCAGGGGAUUCUCAAGCAGCCAGAGGACUAUCCGGCCACAUGCCCACCAGUUAGAGACGGAAGAGCCUGAUCGAGGAAAUGUGGCCAUUUGCGGCUGGCAGAUUUUCACGUCCGUUAUUUUCUCUGCCGCUCAGAGCCCUCUUUUGAGCCUCAUUCUACAGAUGGAGGAGGCAAAAGUGAUCAGCAGACGCACCGGAAGACAGCCAGGAUGCAGCACGGCUGGGGUUCGGAGCUGCAAGCCUCCGACUUGCAAUAGCAGUGCUCUUUCGGAGGACACUUCAACAGAGAACCCUGGGGAGGCGUCUGGCACGGAGAAGAUGCUCACUUGAUGUAGUCGCACCGCUCGGGAAGUGAGGUUUGGGUCUCAGUGUGUUGGAAAGGGUCUUCCGUCCUUAUCUCUGCAAAGAAGCCCUUUCCUUCCACUUCCUCUCUGGCUCUCCUACCCUGGCCGGACCGUAUAGGGAUCAUGGCUCUGGCUUGAGACGCUGCAUUCCUCUCCGGCCCGGCCCGCUGAGACCCAGAGCCCAGGGAGGCGUCCUUCCCCUCCUGGAUGUUCAUCCUGCAAGUCCAGACGCCGUCAACUCCAAGGCGUUCCCUCUGGGCCUGGGCCAGAGUGGCUGCGGCCGAGCUCCUCCCUCCCCCUCCAGCCUCCUUGGGUGCAGACAGCCCAGCACAGGCAGGAAGGGCCUUCUGUUUGCCUUGGCUGGUGGGGAAGAGAUUAGUGCUCACUUUCUGUUAUGACUCUUGUAUCUAACUAGCAGGCAGGCCCAUGACGUCGAAGAGAAGCACACUUGAGCCUUGGAUGAGGUUGGGCCCUGUGCCUGACCACUGCCAGGGUGUCCGGGGGUAGGAAUGGGUGGUAACACCACCCCUGGGGCAUGUGGAGAAAUGUGGUGGCCGCCUGUCA